GGCCCAAAGGGUAGUUUUAGGUAUAAUAAAAUAGAAUUUAAAACUUAUUUAGUAGUUAUAUACAAAUAUAAAAUGUAAACCCAAAGACGAAAGUUAUACUAUAUAUUCUUGAAUCUACUAUAGCUGAGAAACAAACUAGGAUUAGAUACCCUACUAUGCUCAACUUUAAAAUCGGACCUUCCCGCCAGAGCACUACGAGCCACAGCUUAAAACUCAAAGGACUUGGCGGUGCUCUACACCCACCUAGAGGAGCCUGUUCUAUAAUCGACACUCCCCGAUAAACCUCACCACCUCUUGCUAAUACAGCCUAUAUACCACCGCCCUCAGUUCACCCUUCAAAAGAAUAAUAGUGAACAAAAUAAUUUAAAAUAAAAAAGUCAGGUCAAGGUGCAGCAAAUGAAGUGGAAAGAAAUGGGCUACAUUUUUUAUAAUAAAAAAUACGGAAUAUUCUAUGAAAUAAAAUAUAAAGGAGGAUUUAGAAGUAAAAGGAAAAAAGAGUGUUCUUUUUAAAUUGGCAAUAGAGCACGCACACACCGCCCGUCACCCUCUUCAAAAUUAAAUAAACUAAAUAAAUAUAUAAAUUUAUAAGAAAAGGUAAGUCGUAACAUGGUAAGUCUACCGGAAGGUGGCCUUGGACAU
rnacentral:rRNA from 1 species